UACGUAGGGUGCAAGCGUUGUCCGGAAUUAUUGGGCGUAAAGAGCUCGUAGGCGGUCUGUCGCGUCGGCUGUGAAAACCCGGAGCUCAACUCCGGGCCUGCAGUCGAUACGGGCAGACUGGAGUUCGGCAGGGGAGACUGGAAUUCCUGGUGUAGCGGUGAAAUGCGCAGAUAUCAGGAGGAACACCGGUGGCGAAGGCGGGUCUCUGGGCCGAUACUGACGCUGAAGCGCGAAAGCGUGGGGAGCAAACGGG
rnacentral:rRNA from 1 species